UCACAGGGAACUGUCCUUGCCCCCAGCAGGAGGGGGCUGUGAUCCCAUUCCCACAAAAGGAUCUCCUGGAUGGACUGCUGGCCCGAACCAGCGCGGUGAAUCCCACGUUAACUUAAAAAACAUUAAAAUGAUAACUUCAUCUCGAGUUACUUUCCUAUUCAUCUAUAGAAUUUCUCAAUUAUGUAUGACUAAUUUUGCACAAAGUCAUUAUUUGGAGCAAUUUGUCUAAGUAUGAGAGGCAACACCUUCAACCUUCCUGGAUGGUGGGUGGGGAAAAUGUCAUAAUCAGUUCUGCUUUGGCAUGAGUUAUUAAGCGGUCACAGGAGUUCAAAGGAGAGAAAUAAUGAACAGCCUGUUUGCAGCCAUGCUGUAAUUGCUGCUGCUGGAGAAGCCUCCUCGUUGGGGGAGAGGACAAGUAGCCGCACGACAGCUCAGAGCAAACCCUCUCCCAUCUUCCCAGGGCACAUUUUGUACACCAGAACAGAGAUCCCAGCUCCGAGAUGCCCAGCUCCAGCCCAGAGGUGUCCCAGCCCCACUGCUCCAGCAGAAGGGAGGGAGGGAACUGAUUACAGAAGAGCUGGAGACAAACAACAAACAGACAAACGUACAAAUUAUUUUCACAUCCACCUCCUAAUUGCUUGUUAAAAACCCUCUAGGAGUGCAGGAUCAAAUGGGACACGUUGCUGGAACAGGGAGAAAAAGUGUUUACCUACAGCCUGUCAAAUUUUAGCCUGCAGCAAAAUGAUUUAUAGACAAAUUUGAAGCUUCUUCACAGUUGACAAGUUAAUUCUCACUGGGAAAAAAAAAAGAAAAAAAAAGAGGAAUUAUGACAACACUGAAGAAUGUUAACAUGGUACCUACUCUAAUUGAAUAAAAGACACCUUACAGAGCUGCA
rnacentral:lncRNA from 1 species